rnacentral:rRNA from 1 species
UAUCUCUGUAGAGUCUGCAUAUCAAUAAGCGGAGGAAAAGAAACUAACAAGGAUUCCCUUAGUAACGGCGAGUGAAGCGGGAAGAGCUCAAAUUUGAAAUCUUCAAGGCUCUACCUUGACGAAUUGUAGUUUAAAGAAGUGUUUUCUGUUAGAUGAGUAGCAAAAGUUCCUUGGAAUGGGACAUCAUAGAGGGUGAGAAUCCCGUAUUUGGUUAUUCAUUCUAGCUUUGUGAUACACUUUCAAAGAGUCGGAUUGUUUGGGAAUGCAGUCCAAAAUGGGUGGUAAAUUUCAUCUAAAGCUAAAUAUUGGCGAGAGACCGAUAGCGAACAAGUACCGUGAGGGAAAGAUGAAAAGAACUUUGAAAAGAGAGUUAAACAGUACGUGAAAUUGUCAAAAGGGAAGCGUUUGACACCAGUGUUGUUUUUCCGAAAAUCAAUUACGAAUGACUUGAUUUUGUGUUGUAUUGACCUUAUCAGCUUUCUUCACUUUUUUCGAGUCUUUCUUAAUGCACUUUUCGGUUAACAAGUCAACAUCAAUUUCUUUUGUUGUAAAAGAGUAUUCGGAAGGUGGCUUUCUUUUCGGAGAAAGUGUUUAUAGCCCUAUACUUCUACAAUCGGAGAGAUUGAGGUCUGCAGCGUAGAUCCUUCGGGGUUAGAUACACUUGUGCUAAGUUGUAGCUUUUCAUAGACAACUUGUUGACUAUGUUUAGUCAUGCGGCUUACUCGCUUGUGCUAUUUUACCUACGCUUAGGAUGUUGACUGAUAUGUAGUCGUA